UCUUGGUCAUUUAGAGGAAGUAAAAGUCGUAACAAGGUUUCCGUAGGUGAACCUGCGGAAGGAUCAUUAUUGAAAUAAACCUGAUAAGUUGUUGCUGGUUCUCUAGGGAGCAAUGUGCACACUUGUCAUCUUUGUAUCUUCACCUGUGCAUCUUUUGUAGACCUGAUUAUCUCUCUGAAUGCUUUUGUAGCACUUAGGAUUGAGAAUUGACUUUAUUGUCUCUUCUUACAUUUUCAGGUCUAUGUUUCUUCAUAUACCCUAAUGUAUGUUUAUAGAAUGUAAUUAAUAGGCCUUUGUGCCUAUAAACCUUUUACAACUUUCAGCAACGGAUCUCUUGGCUCUCGCAUCGAUGAAGAACGCAGCGAAAUGCGAUAAGUAAUGUGAAUUGCAGAAUUCAGUGAAUCAUCGAAUCUUUGAACGCACCUUGCGCUCCUUGGUAUUCCGAGGAGCAUGCCUGUUUGAGUGUCAUUAAUAUUAUCAACCUUUUUGGUUGGGUGUGGGUUUGCUGGACUCUUUUGAGAUCAGCUCCCCUUAAAUGCAUUAGCGGACAACAUUUUGCCAACCGUUCAUUGGUGUGAUAAUUAUCUACGCUAUUGACGUGAAAGCAAUGUUCAGCUUCUAACAGUCCAUUUACUUGGACAAACCUUAUUAAUAUGACCUCAAAUCAGGUAGGACUACCCGCUGAACUUAAGCAUAUCAAUAAGCGGAGGAAAAGAAACUAACAAGGAUUCCCCUAGUAACUGCGAGUGAAGCGGGAAAAGCUCAAAUUUAAAAUCUGGCAGUCUUUGGCUGUUCGAGUUGUAAUCUAGAGAAGCAUUAUCCGCGCUGGACCGUGUACAAGUCUCCUGGAAUGGAGCGUCAUAGAGGGUGAGAAUCCCGUCUU
rnacentral:rRNA from 1 species